CAUUGUGUUGGAUAAGGAUCAGUUUGUAUCCUUCCCCCCUUCAGACCACACAGAGACAUACCAAGAAGAAGGCUGUUUACAAGUUGAGUACAUAGAUGCUUAAGGGCUUAAGGCUUAGUGGCUUACCGUAUUUAAUGUAUUUGGUUGAUCAGGAUUUUCUUUCAAUGAGUAGGUGUGGUGUCUAGAUUAAUCUGUGAUGCUUAAUUGUAUUAACUCUUUGUUUAGUUGUUU
rnacentral:lncRNA from 1 species